AGCCUGAUGCAGCGACGCCGCGUGAGGGAUGACGGCCUUCGGGUUGUAAACCCUUUCGGAGGGAGGAAGGGAAAGUGACGGUACCUGGAGAAGAAGCACCGGACAACUACGUGCCAGCAGCCGCGGUAAUACGUAGGGUGCGAGCGUUGUCCGGAAUUACUGGGCGUAAAGAGCUCGUAGGUGGUUUGUCGCGUUGUUCGUGAAAACUCACAGCUUAACUGUGGGCGUGCGGGCGAUACGGGCAGACUGGAGUACUGCAGGGGAGACUGGAAUUCCUGGUGUAGCGGUGGAAUGCGCAGAUAUCAGGAGGAACACCGGUGGCGAAGGCGGGUCUCUGGGCAGUAACUGACGCUGAGGAGCGAAAGCGUGGGGAGCGAACAGGAUUAGAUACCCUGGUAGUCCACGCCGUAAACGGUCUUGUACUAGGUGUGGGUUUCCUUCCUUGGGAUCCGUGCCGUAGCUAACGCAUUAAGUAC
rnacentral:rRNA from 1 species